AAAGCGUCUGGCCUACA
rnacentral:tRNA from 1 species